AGCGAACGCUGGCGGCAGGCCUAACACAUGCAAGUCGAACGAAGUCUUCGGACUUAGUGGCGGACGGGUGAGUAACACGUGGGAACGUACCUUUUGGUUCGGAACAACUCAGGGAAACUUGAGCUAAUACCGGAUGAGCCCUUAGGGGGAAAGAUUUAUCGCCGAAAGAUCGGCCCGCGUUAGAUUAGCUAGUUGGUGAGGUAAAGGCUCACCAAGGCUACGAUCUAUAGCUGGUCUGAGAGGAUGAUCAGCCGCACUGGGACUGAGACACGGCCCAGACUCCUACGGGAGGCAGCAGUGGGGAAUCUUGCGCAAUGGGCGAAAGCCUGACGCAUCCAUGCCGCGUGAAUGAUGAAGGUCUUAGGAUUGUAAAAUUCUUUUACCAGGGACGAUAAUGACGGUACCUGGAGAAAAAGCCCCGGCUAACUUCGUGCCAGCAGCCGCGGUAACAC
rnacentral:rRNA from 1 species